AUUGAACGCUGGCGGCAUGCUUUACACAUGCAAGUCGAACGGUAACAGGCCGCAAGGUGCUGACGAGUGGCGAACGGGUGAGUAAUGCAUCGGAACGUGCCCAGUCGUGGGGGAUAACGCAGCGAAAGCUGCGCUAAUACCGCAUACGAUCUAUGGAUGAAAGCGGGGGACCGUAAGGCCUCGCGCGAUUGGAGCGGCCGAUGUCAGAUUAGGUAGUUGGUGGGGUAAAGGCGCACCAAGCCGACGAUCUGUAGCUGGUCUGAGAGGACGACCAGCCACACUGGGACUGAGACACGGCCCAGCCUCCUACGGGAGGAAGCAGUGGGGAAUUUUGGACAAGGGGCGCAAGCCUGAUCCAGCAAUGCCGCGUGCAGGAAGAAGGCCUUCGGGUUGUAAACUGCUUUUGUACGGAACGAAACGGCUCUGGUUAAUACCUGGGGCUAAUGACGGUACCGUAAGAAUAAGCACCGGCUAACUACGUGCCAGCCGCCGCGGUAAAAC
rnacentral:rRNA from 1 species